rnacentral:sRNA from 3 species
AUAUCUCUCUGUACGGGAAGGAUGAGAAGCUUCUACCAGGGUUCGAUUCGAGCGCAGCGAGAAAGCGUUGCCGCAGGCAACGACCCGAA